rnacentral:rRNA from 1 species
GAUGAACGCUAGCUACAGGCUUAACACAUGCAAGUCGAGGGGUAACGAGAGGAAAGCUUGCUUUCCUUGUCGACGACCGGCGCACGGGUGAGUAACGCGUAUCCAACCUGCCCCCAACUAGGGAAUAACCUUGCGAAAGUAAGACUAAUACCCUAUAAUUUCCUCAGAUGCCAUCUGACGAGGAAUAAAGAUUUAUCGGUUGUGGAUGGGGAUGCGUCUGAUUAGCUUGUUGGCGGGGUAACGGCCCACCAAGGCAACGAUCAGUAGGGGUUCUGAAAGGAAGGUCCCCCACAUUGGAACUGAGACACGGUCCAAACUCCUACGGGAGGCAGCAGUGAGGAAUAUUGGGCAAUGGGCGGAAGCCUGAACCAGCCAAGUAGCGUGCAGGAUGACGGCCCUAUGGGUUGUAAACUGCUUUUAUACAGGAAUAAAGUUAGCCACGUGUGGUUAUUUGUAGGUACUGUAUGAAUAAGGACCGGCUAAUUCCGUGCCAGCCGCCGCAGUAA